rnacentral:sRNA from 12 species
UAAACCCUAUCAAGCCGAAGUCCCAAGUGCCACUUGGGAUACUAAGUAGGCGAGAUGGGGUUUA